rnacentral:misc_RNA from 1 species
AUAAAUAUUCCUGAUGGGAAGCAUUUCACCGUUUGUGGAGAUGUACAUGGUCAGUUCUAUGAUCUGUUAAAUAUUUUUGAGCUGAAUGGUCUUCCCUCUGAAGAGAAUCCAUAUCUGUUCAAUGGUGAUUUUGUCGAUAGGGGAUCAUUUUCUGUGGAGGUCAUCCUCACAUUGUUCGCAUUCAAGUGCAUGUGUCCAUCAGCCAUAUAUCUUGCUAGAGGAAAUCAUGAAAGCAAAAGUAUGAACAAGAUAUAUGGUUUUGAGGGUGAGGUGCGAUCCAAAUUGAGCGAGACAUUUGUGGAACUCUUUNCUCUUUGCAGAAGUCUUUUGUUGUUUACCUUUGGCUCAUGUAAUAAAUGAUAAGGUGUUUGUAGUUCAUGGAGGUCUUUUUAGUGUUGAUGGGGUGAAGCUGUCUGACAUUAGAGCCAUUGAUCGGUUUUCUGAGCCCCCUGAGGAAGGGUUAAUGUGUGAAUUGCUAUGGAGUGAUCCACAACCUUUCCAUGGAAGAGGUCCUAGCAAGCGGGGUGUAGGCCUUUCUUUUGGUGCAGAUGUGACAAAAAAAUUUUUGCAGGAAAAUAAUCUAGAUUUAGUUGUGCGAUCUCAUGAAGUAAAGGAUGAAGGUUAUGAGAUUGAGCAUGAUGGUAAACUUAUUACUGUUUUCUCUGCUCCAAAUUAUUGUGAUCAGAUGGGUAAUAAGGGUGCUUUUAUGCGAUUUGAAGCCCCUGAGUUGAAGCCAAAUAUUGUUACAUUCUCAGCAGUGCCUCACCCUGACGUCAAGCCAAUGGCAUAUGCCAACAACUUCCUCCGAAUGUUCUCAUAGUUUUGUACACAUGGAGUGUAUUAUUUUUUGCAAUAAGAUAAGCUCUGGUGCCAAAUUUCAAGCUGUUUCAGAAGGCGACAGGAGAGGAGCUGGUAGUGGUACAUGUUGACAAAUUCAGCAUUUGAAGUCUCUGAUAUUCUUGGAGCAAUCCUUUUGUUUUAGGUUUGGGUUUCGUUUGAAAUUUUCAAUUCAAGCCAGUUCAGUUGUAGGCGUAAAACAUACUUGGCAUGAAUGUUGGUGCCUUUCUAAAAUGUAUCACCUUUUUCUCGUCUUGUUUAGUUCCUUUUAAUUCAAAUGCCAACCAUUUGGAACUGUAAAGUAGUAUUUAAAA